GGCUUCCGCGCACGCAGCCUGGCGCGGCGACACGCGCACACCCGCGGCCGAAUCGGGGGAGGGAGCGGAGCCCGCCGAGCGCCGGAUCCCCGCGCGCUGCGAGUCGCCGGGGCAGGAAGGGGCGCGCGCGGCGGGACGCUGAAGACUGGGACAGCGCUGCGCCUGGGCUCUCUGUGACAGAGAUACUGUCUUUGCCUUCCUGGAAAUAGGGGUUAUUGCAGUGUUCUGUCCGGGUCUUCCCGUGUCAUCCGCCCCACGAUCGUCUUGACAACUCUCUAGCUAACAAGGUGGUGCUCUUUAUGAUGGCUGCUAUCCUGUGAAAGCUGCCAAUGGGUAACUGAGGAGAAGAGAAGCAAUUCAUGCCAACCAGGACUGGAUGAGAAAAUGGAUCAAGAUUGACUCAACUGCAGUUCUGGGUCCAGAAAACACCAAAACUGUAGUCUGAAUGUGGAAGCACAUUGAUUGAGAUAAUCAUCCAGAUAAUCAGGCACAGAAGACAAGAAAAUAAAAUUUUUUCCUAAGCAUAGUUGUGAUAACUAUUGCUUAGUAGUGUGUGUGUGUGUGUGUGUGUGUGUGUGUGUGUGUGUGUGUGUGUGAAGAGAGAAAAGGGAAGAGAGACAGGAAGAGAGAGGGGGAGAUAAUUACCAUGUUUGAUUAAUUUAGUUUAUUUGAGCACAAUAUUUUUAAAUUUUACCAAAUUAGUGAGUUAAUCUGUUAAUAUUAUCUACAUCCAAAAAACUGGACUUUGAGUUUCCUAUUGUAUAUGGUUCUAGCACCUACAUGACAAUACAUAUUUCAUUCAAACAGUCAGUUGUUGACACAUUGAAAAGCAUCAUCUAAAUUGUCCCUAAGAACAGUAUCUUGAUAAAAUUUGAAAGUAACCUAAACAUAUGUAUAGAUAUAAAUAUAGCAAUAGCAAGAAUAAAACUGCAAAGAGAACAUAUUUGUACUACUUGAAUAUAUAAUAAGCAAACAACACUAAUAAAAGAGUCUGAGCCACAUUAAACCAGUACUCUGGAAAGCUGGAAACUGGUUUUACCAUCUGUCAUCUUCUAUACUGGCAGCAUCACAAAUGAGACUUCUUUUGAACAAAACAUCACAGCAGGAGCCACAGACAUGUGAAUUGUAAUUAACACGUGAAAAUGCAUCUCAUAGCUUUUGUCAUUUAUAGAAAACAUAUUGUGAAAUUUUGAUUUAUAAAAUUAUAUCAAAUUUAAGCCAUUUUAAUUUUCCAAACCUAUACACUAUUUCAUCAAAACUUUGGCCUUUACCAACAGUGUGUUUUUCUUAGGACUGGUUCACUCUUUAAUGAGGAUCAAUUAUUUCCUAAUCAUUCAGAUACAGAAGAUGAACAAAAGUAUAAGUCUGCUGAGGACAAAUGGUAUCGCUUUACAUUUAUUUAGUAGUAUUAUCUACAAUAAAAACCAUUUUCUUUAAUAAAAGAGUUUAUUCCCUGAGAAAUAUAAAGUCAAAUCAGAUCUUCAACUGUGAUAAAAAAAUUUUCCUCCCUUUCAUAUCUAAGAGAACAAAAAUAUUCGUUUUUUAGCUCUUCCAUAUGUGAAAACUCAAAUGCACAGCUUAUGAGAUGUAACUGUGUUACAAACAUUAAACAAAUGUUCAAAAAUAGCAAUAAGAAAAGUGUUCCAAAUUGCUGACCAAAAUAUGAACCAAUGUUAAAAUAGAAUGUUUAUAUUCAAAAAAUUUAAUUUCCAUUCAUAAUGUAUGAGUGUUUCUAGAAAUUCAGGUUAAUUUUAAAGUUGACAUUCUUGGCAUUUGUUAUUAUGGAGUUUAUCAGGUAGAUUUAUGUUUUACAUUCAAACACGUUGAUACCUUUAAACAUCUUGAUAUUCCUAACCUGCCAUUGGGGUGCAACAAUGUCUUCAUUCUCAUACAUUGCUUCCAACUUUCCCUCCAAACACUAACAUUAAUAAAACGAGAUUGGAGCUGAAAAAUAGUUCAGCUGUUAGGAGUGCAUACUGUUCUUAGAGAGGGCCAGACUGGGUUAUCAGCACCUGUAUCAGGCAGCUCAAAACUGCUAAUACAUAACCCAGUUCCCUGGGGUUGAGUGCCUACCGGCCUCUGUGAGUACCUACACACGGAUCUACACACCCAUGCACACGUACCCUGACAUACACAAAAUUAAAUAAAAAUAAAUCUUAGGAUAGGAGUUUGUCACUAAAUUGCAUGCCAUGCAUCCCUUCUAUCACAUAUUUCUGACAAUGUCUUGGGAAAACUAAGUGCUAGGAUUUAGGUCUCCUCCACUUGACUUUAGUGGACUUUUGUGAAGACCUCAUCAUUGUGAAAAUGGUGUGUGAUCUCCUAGCUCUGUCAUUGCCAUUCACUUAUCACUGUGCUCUUGGGACAUGUGCCCUUGUGCUGUAAACUACCUACUGUGACAAAGGAGAAGUAGGCUGGAUGUCCCCAGUGUUCAGAACCAUCUGACAGGUGCCAUAUGUGCCGAUAUACUAGCCAUCUAUAAGAGGGAGCCUUGGUGUCCUAUCCCUGCCCUCCAGUCAGUCAAAUGAAAUAGAAAUAAGCCACAUCAGAUUCCUACUCUGUGUAGCAAACUCCCCACAAAUGCACGGAUAUUCUAAAGUGAUGCCAGCCAGUUGGAUCACAGUUCCGAAAGUUGGAAAAUUCUGUGCACCAUCACACACCUGAAAGCAAAGUUUAUUUCACAUACUGAGCCCCUGAUAUACACAGCCACAUCCGUCCAAAUUCAUUCUCGCUGGCAGAAUCCUGCUCCUUGUAUUUCAGAGACUGACACCUUUGUUUCCUGAGUAUGCGGCUCUUCAGCUGGCAAGAGAAGCUUCAAAGCUCAGGCAAUUUGUGUCCUUACUGUCCUCUGAUUCCACCAACUUGAGAAAACUCUGCCUUUAAAGGAGUCCUGGGAUUGUGUUAGAAGGAUUCAGAAAAGCUUCUUAUCUGGGCUUGACUGUGCAUAUAAUAUUACUAAUCACCUGAGCAAAAUCAUUAUAUGCACAGGCUCUAUCUAUAUUUAAAGUGAGGAUGAAUAUGCAAAACUGAGGUAUCUUAGGGGUUAUCACACAGUUCUGCCAGUCUCCAUUAGCACUGGAUUAGAAACCAAAGAUGGAGUCAUAAAAGACUUGCUCAUCAUUAUAUCUCUGAAGCACUGCAUUUGGGACAAGGAGUGAUUUUAUCACGUAGAUUCAGUCUUUUAUUCACAAUCUGUGAUAAUAGCAGUGUAUUAUUACUCAAUUUUUAUCUUAAAGACUUUAUUUUCCUUU
ensembl:bidirectional_promoter_lncRNA A730020E08Rik RIKEN cDNA A730020E08 gene